rnacentral:rRNA from 1 species
UACGGAGGGGGCUAGCGUUGUUCGGAAUUACUGGGCGUAAAGCGCACGUAGGCGGCUUUGUAAGUUAGAGGUGAAAGCCCAGGGCUUAACCCUGGAAUUGCCCUCAAGACUGCAUCGCUAGAAUCGUGGAGAGGUGAGUGGAAUUCCGAGUGUAGAGGUGAAAUUCGUAGAUAUUCGGAAGAACACCAGUGGCGAAGGCGACUCACUGGACACGUAUUGACGCUGAGGUGCGAAAGCGUGGGGAGCAAACAGG